UUGUUCCUACGGGAGGCAGCAGUGAGGAAUAUUGGUCAAUGGGCGGAAGCCUGAACCAGCCAAGUCGCGUGAGGGAAUAAGGCCCUACGGGUCGUAAACCUCUUUUGCCGGGGAGCAAGGGCCGGGACGCGUCCCGGCCCGGAGAGUACCCGGAGAAAAAGCAUCGGCUAACUCCGUGCCAGCAGCCGCGGUAAUACGGAGGAUGCGAGCGUUAUCCGGAUUUAUUGGGUUUAAAGGGUGCGUAGGCGGGCUUUUAAUUCAGCGGUAAAAAUGCGGGGCUCAACCCCGUCCGGCCGUUGAAACUG
rnacentral:rRNA from 1 species